rnacentral:rRNA from 1 species
AUUCCAGCUCCAAUAGCGUAUAUUAAAGUUGUUGCAGUUAAAAAGCUCGUAGUUGAACUUCAGAUCUGGUUGCUUGGUCCGCCUCACGGUGUGUACUGAAUGACCGGAUCUUACCUCUUGGUGAGCCAGCAUGUCGUUUACUCGGCGUGUUGGGGAACCAGGAUUUUUACUUUGAAAAAAUUAGAGUGUUCAAAGCAGGCCUAUGCCCGAAUACAUUAGCAUGGAAUAAUAGAAUAGGACGUGCGGUUCUAUUUUGUUGGUUUCUAGGAUCGCCGUAAUGAUUAAUAGGGAUAGUUGGGGGCAUUAGUAUUCAGUUGCUAGAGGUGAAAUUCUUGGAUUUACUGAAGACUAACUACUGCGAAAGCAUUUGCCAAGGAUGUUUUCAUUA